rnacentral:rRNA from 1 species
AUUGAACGCUGGCGGCAUGCCUUACACAUGCAAGUCGAACGGCAGCACGGGAGCAGUCCUGGUGGCGAGUGGCGAACGGGUGAGUAAUAUAUCGGAACGUGCCCAGUCGUGGGGGAUAACGUAGCGAAAGCUACGCUAAUACCGCAUACGAUCUAUGGAUGAAAGCGGGGGAUCGCAAGACCUCGCGCGAUUGGAGCGGCCGAUAUCAGAUUAGGGAGGUGGUGGGGUAAAGGCCUACCAAGCCUGCGAUCUGUAGCUGGUCUGAGAGGACGAGCAGCCACACUGGAACUGGGACACGGUCCAGACGCCUACGGGAGGCAGCAGUGGGGAAUUUUGGACAAGGGGCGCAAGCCUGAUCCAGCAAUGCCGCGUGCAGGAUGAAGGCCUUCGGGUUGUAAGCUGCUUUUGUACGGAGCGAAAAGGCUCUCUCUAAUACAGGGGGCUCAUGACGGUACCGUAAGAAUAAGCACCGGCUAACUACGUGCCAGCCGCCGCCGUAA